UCUAGUCAUAUUUUUUAAAUUACUUUAUAAUAAAAACAUAUGCUAACGGAUAUGAACAUAUUUUGGCUUUUCUUUUACAUUUAGAAUUACCUUUUUCUGAGGUCAUCUGAACUUGAAGUGUUGGCUUUUCAGGCAGUGUUUCUGGGAUCAAACAUGAAAAAUAUAAACGCAAGGAUGUUGAAAUCAAGCACAGUGACUUCAGCAGGGAAAAAGUGGGUCCCAUCUCAGUCCCCCAAGGGAUCUUAAAGAGAAUUUGCCACAUAAAAGAUGUGCUGCUGAAGCCAAUUUGCAGUCACACUUAAAGAUGGGCUAGGAUCAGAAGUUGGCCUCAAAACCAUUUGACAAGACACACCCUGUACAACAGUAACUGGGAUCCAGUCAAGCUGCUUCUGGCUCCAAGAAGGCUUCACCAGUGCCGUAAAUCAGCCUUGCUUGCUGAAACUGCUGUGAUCCAAAACUACGUGAGAUCUUCUUUGUAGCAGCACCUGCAAAAUAAUUUUAUCUGUCUGACAUAAAACAUAAUCCAGGAGUGCAGCACAGGCAGAGAUCUACCCAGCUGGGGAGCAGCCCUGUGGAAAGGGGCCUGGGGGUCCUGGUGCACAAGCAGCUCAGUGUGAGCGAGCCGUGUGCUGCUGCAGCAAAGCAAGCCAACAGGAUGCUGGGUUGCAUCAACAAGGGCAUCACCAGCAGAGCUGAUGAAGUCAUUAUCCCCCUCUACUCACCGCUUGUCAGGCCACACCUGGAACAGUGUGUUCAGUUUUGGUCCCCACUAUGCAAAAAGAUGUGGACAGGGUGGAGAGGGUCCAGAGAAGGGCCACAAAGAUGACCAAAGGACAGGGAAGCCUGCCAUAUGAGGCAAGGCUGAGAGAACUGGCUUUGUUCAGCCUUGAGAAAAGAAGGCUUAGAGGAGACCUUAUCACCAUGUUCCAGUAUUUAAAGGGUGGCUACAAAGAAGAAGGAGACUCCCUUUUUAUAAGGCGUCAGAUGGAAAAGACGAGGUGUAACGGGUGCAAGUCACUCCUGGGGAGAUUCCGACUGGACACAAGGGAAAAAUUUUUCACAAUGAGAACAAUCAGCCAUUGGAAUAAUCUCCCCAGGGAAGUGGUGGAUUCCCCAACAUUGGACACGUUUAAGAUUCAGCUGGACGGGGUGCUGGGCCAUCUUGUCUAGACUGUGCUUUUGCCAAGAAAUGUUGUUCGCCUGCCAAUAUGGAAAGAUUAAUUAAAUUCUUCCAUAGAUGAAGGUGAAAGUAGGGUCCUUGUGGUCAGUGCACAUUUUGGAUGUGGAGGCAGGGGUAAGUUGAUAAAUCCCCUUUUGAAAAGGGCAGCCCGGCUCUUUCCUCUCGUGUUUUCAAAUGAUAAGUGUGUCCUUGUCCUUCUGAGGUGAGGUUGGCCUGUCAGGUUCUUUCAGUGGGGAAGUCUGGGUGUAGGGGAGCU